AUUGAACGCUGGCGGCAUGCCUUACACAUGCAAGUCGAACGGCAGCACGGGUGCUUGCACCUGGUGGCGAGUGGCGAACGGGUGAGUAAUACAUCGGAACAUGUCCUGUAGUGGGGGAUAGCCCGGCGAAAGCCGGAUUAAUACCGCAUACGAUCUACGGAUGAAAGCGGGGGACCUUCGGGCCUCGCGCUAUAGGGUUGGCCGAUGGCUGAUUAGCUAGUUGGUGGGGUAAAGGCCUACCAAGGCGACGAUCAGUAGCUGGUCUGAGAGGACGACCAGCCACACCGGGACUGAGGCACGGCCCAGACUCCUACGGGAAGCAGCAGUGGGGAAUUUUGGACAAUGGGCGGAAGCCUGAUCCAGCAAUGCCGCGUGUGUGAAGAAGGCCUUCGGGUUGUAAAGCACUUUUGUCCGGAAAGAAAUCCUUGGCUCUAAUACAGUCGGGGGAUGACGGUACCGGAAGAAUAAGCACCGGCUAACUACGUG
rnacentral:rRNA from 1 species